rnacentral:rRNA from 1 species
UACGUAGGAUCCAAGCGUUAUCCGGAAUCACUGGGCGUAAAGCGUGCGUAGGCGGCGCGUUAAGUGCAACGCGAAAUCCGGUGGCUCAACCAUCUGGACUGUGUUGCAUACUGGCGUGCUUGAGGAUACGAGAGGUACAUGGAAUUAGCGGUGUAGCAGUGAAAUGCGUAGAUAUCGCUAGGAACACCAAUGGCGAAGGCAGUGUACUGGCGUAUUCCUGACGCUGAGGUACGAAAGCGUGGGGAGCGAACAGG